rnacentral:tRNA from 1 species
GGUGAGAUGGCCGAGUUGGUUAUGGCGCCAGGUUAAGGAUAACCUUAACAUCUAAAUCUCCUGGUGGAGCAAUCCUCCUGGGUUCAAGUCCCAGUCUCAUCA